rnacentral:lncRNA from 1 species
GUGGUCCCAUCUUAAGAAAAUCUGAUGGAUGACAAUCCCGACUAAAAUAACUAUGGGCUUGUUCUCUUAGGGUAACAAAGUUUUGUUUUGAAUUAUUCUUUUUUUUUUCUCUUUCUCUUUCUCCCCAACCCCCCACCCCUGUACCAAGGAUUGAUUCUAGAUACACUUUACCACUAAGCCACAUCCCCAGCCCUUUUUCUUUCUUCCUCUUCCUCCUCCUCCUCCUCCUCUUCUUCUUCUAAUUUUGAGACAGAGUUCUCACUAAGUUGCUGAGGCUGGCCUCAAACUUGCAAUCCUCCUGCCUCAGCCUCCCAAGUCAUUGUGAUUACAGGUGUGUGCCACCAGGGUACAGAAUUUUUCAGAAGGGAAAUUGUGAGUAAAGGGGUUUAGGACAUGCUACCACAGAAUGUGUCAUUUUCACAUGUUUAUUAUGAUGAACUAAAGGCCCUUGAGAAACAGAUUCAGGAAAAGCUCUCUGACUUCCUCCUUUCCACCUGAAUGCAUCUCAUGAAAGAUUCUCUGAGAAAGGUUCCUUCCCUGUCUGAGAAGAGAAGAGCAGUCAUUGCUAGACACUGCAGACUGACACCAAAAUAGAACUGUACAAACAAACCAAAAAUAACUCUUAUCUUCCAUUACUUUCCUCCAGAUAUUUUCUGGUCAUUGUCCCACAAUUUACUGCCC